AUUGAACGCUGGCGGCAUGCCUAACACAUGCAAGUCGAACGAUGAUUCAGAGCUUGCUCUUAUGAUUAGUGGCGGACGGGUGAGUAAUGUAUAGGGAUCUGCCUGUUAGUGGGGGACAACAGCCGGAAACGGCUGCUAAUACCGCAUACGCUCUACGGAGGAAAGUGGGGGACCCUCGAGCCUCACGCUAACAGAUGAACCUAUAUUGGAUUAGCUAGUUGGUAGGGUAAAGGCCUACCAAGGCGACGAUCCAUAGCUGGUUUGAGAGAAUGAUCAGCCACACUGGGACUGAGACACGGCCCAGACUCCUACGGGAGGCAGCAGUGGGGAAUAUUGGACAAUGGGCGCAAGCCUGAUCCAGCAAUGCCGCGUGUGUGAAGAAGGCCUUCGGGUUGUAAAGCACUUUAAGUUGGGAGGAAAAGCUGAGGGUUAAUAGCCUGUAGUGUUGACGUUACCAACAGAAUAAGCACCGGCUAACUCCGUG
rnacentral:rRNA from 1 species